rnacentral:rRNA from 1 species
UAUCAACGCUGGCGGCGUGCCUAACACAUGCAAGUCGAGCGCGAAAGGGGAGUAAUCCCCAAGUAGAGCGGCGAACGGGUGAGUAACGCGUGGGUGAUCUACCUCCGAGUGGGAAUAACCCCGGGAACGUGGGGCUAAUACCGCAUGACAUCCCUGAGUCACAUCGGGGAUCAAAGCCGGGGACCGCAAGGCCUGGCGUUUGGAGAUGAGCCCGCGUCCGAUUAGCUAGUUGGCGGGGAACGGCCCACCAAGGCUUCGAUCGGUAGCCGGCCUGAGAGGGCGGACGGCCACACUGGGACUGAGACACGGCCCAGACUCCUACGGGAGGCAGCAGUGGGGGAAUUUUUCGCAAUGGGGGAAACCCUGACGAAGCAACGCCGCGUGGAGGAUGAAGGCCUUCGGU